GUGAGCCACCAUGUGGUUGCUGGGAAUUG
rnacentral:piRNA from 2 species